rnacentral:rRNA from 1 species
CUGAGCGGCGGACGGGUGAGUAACGCGUGGGUAACCUGCCUCAUACAGGGGGAUAACAGUUGGAAACGGCUGCUAAUACCGCAUAAGCGCACAGUACCGCAUGGUACCGCGUGAAAAACUCCGGUGGUAUGGGAUGGACCCGCGUCUGAUUAGCUAGUUGGUGGGGUAACGGCCUACCAAGGCGACGAUCAGUAGCCGACCUGAGAGGGUGACCGGCCACAUUGGGACUGAGACACGGCCCAA